rnacentral:tRNA from 1 species
GACACUAUGGCCGAGUGGUUAAGGGUAAGCAGUUGCAGCCGUAAUUACGUCGAUCCGUGUUCUAACGACAUUUCAGCGUGUGACUAGAACCAUUUGCAUCGCAAAGUGCAAUCAGUUUCGAUAUCACAUGGUAAGCCAGUUCUACUAUGUCUGUUCAAACAUUCCACUAACAAACUCCAAGGGUUCGCCCGCACAGGUUCAAGUCCUGUUGGUGUCG